UAAGACUACUCAUACAGAGUAUUUAUGAAAAAUGGAAUGCAGAUUGCCACAGAUACUGGAAAACAGAAAGUCCCUUGCAGGAGAAAAAUAUCCUGUCACCAGGUCCAAUUAUGACAGAGGAAUAUGCACAAGUCUGUUCUGGCUCAUCUGAAGCUCUACUUCUUCCCUACAAAAAAAUAGCYUCUUUGAAAACGUCCUUGAAGACCAUCAAAAGGCUAGAAGAGAUGGAUCCUAUGCGUAGUAUAGACAUUUAUGUAAAAAUGAUCUUGAAUGAGGUCUAAUUAACAUCGUUGAAGUAUUCACAAGACUGCUC
rnacentral:lncRNA from 1 species